rnacentral:rRNA from 1 species
UAGCAUAAUCCUUAGUUUUUUAAUUGAGAACUGGAAUGAAAGGUUAAAUAAAAAAUAAUCUUUAUUAGUUUUAAAAUGUUUGAAUUUAUUUUUUUAGUAAAAAAACUAAAAUAAAUUAAAAAGACGAUAAGACCCUAUAAAGCUUUAUAAUAAAAAAUUUAAUAAUUAAUUAGAAAAAUAAAAUACUUUUUUUUUAGUUAUUUAAUUGGGGUGAUUUAAAGAUUAAAAAAACUCUUUAAUAAAAAAAAAUCAUAUUUAAAUGUUUUUUGAUCCUUAAAUUUUAAGAAUAAUAAAAUAAGUUACUUUAGGGAUAACAGCGUAAUUUUUUUGAAGAGUUCAAAUCGAUAAAAAAGAUUGCGACCUCGAUGUUGAAUUAAGAUAAAAAUUAGGUGUAGAAGUUUAAUUUUU